rnacentral:rRNA from 1 species
UACGGGGGGGGCAAGCGUUGUUCGGAAUUACUGGGCGUAAAGGGCUCGUAGGUGGCCAACUAAGUCAGACGUGAAAUCCCUCAGCUUAACUGGGGAACUGCGUCUGAUACUGGAUGGCUUGAGUUUGGGAGAGGGAUGCGGAAUUCCCAGUGUAGCGGUGAAAUGCGUAGAUAUUGGGAGGAACACCAGUGGCGAAGGCGGCUCACUGGACCGGUACUGACGCUGAUGCGCGAAAGCGUGGGGAGCAAACGGG